GCACGCACCACCACACCUAGCUAAUUUUUGUAUUUUUAGUAGAGACGAGGUUUCACCAGGUUGGCCAGGAUGGUCUUGAACUCUUAACCUCAAGUGAUCCACCUGCCUCAGCUUCCCAAAGUUCUGGGAUUACAGGGCGCCAAAAAUUGGCACUUUUAAAAGGAGACAAGUUUUACUUAAAAGCAAAUGCCUUUAAAAGGCCUUUGGCUGGACUAAAUGAUAAUGAAGCGAAGCGAAGCGAAGCUUGUGACCACUCUGUAGAGCCAUCCAGAUAGUCUCUCUUUGGGGCCAUAUCCUCGAGAAUGCAUGAUCUAGGGUCAUUCAUUGCACAUUCCUGGCUUCAGACUGGUUUUCUGAAUUUCCCUGCGAUCUGAUUUUUGUCUUCCUACAUUUUUGUGUGUGUGACACAUCAAAAGGUAAAAGAAUGUGUGAAUCAUAUGGGUACGGUUUAAAUAAUACCUGCAUACACAACACUUAGUCACCUGAAACCUCCCCCAACACCUCCCAAUUCCAGUCCCCUCUCCUGGAGGCCACCUCUAUUUUUAAUUUUUGUAAUGAUCACUUCCUUGCCUUAGUUUGUAGUUUUAAUAUUUAGGUGUGUAUACCUGGUCAUGUUCAUAAAUGAAAUCAUAUUGUAUGAAUUAUUUUGUGUCUUGUUUCUCUUACUCAGCAUUGUUUUUCAGGCUUAACCAGUGGAUUUGUGCUGCUGGUUCACGAUCAAAGUUCUAGACUGUGAAAACAUUAGUUUCAUGAAAACGUUAGGAUUUGUCCCCCCAAUUGUUUGGAUAUCAUGAAGAAUGCCGCUGUGAACAUGCUUGUUCCUAUGCCGUAACUCACGUGGGAAUAUCUCCUAUUUAUAUAUAGUUAGGGGUGGGAUUGCUUGGUCAGAGUUUGCAUAUCUGCAGCUCUAACUGUUUUCCAAGAUGAUUGUGUCAAUUUUCAUUCCCACAGCAGUUUUUAAAGUUCCCAUUGUUCUACAUCCUUGCCAGCCUAUGAUAUUGUUAGCAAUGUUUUUUCGUAUUUGUAAUGUUUCCUAAUCUAGCGGCUGUGGUUGCUGUCUCACUGUGUUUAAUUUGCAUUUCCAUGAUUACUAAUGAGUUUGAGCACCUUUUUAUAUCUGCGUGGUGAUUGGGAAUGCCUUAUUUGUGAGAUGCCUGUUCAAGUCCUGCCAUUAUCCGUUGUGUAUAUGUUUCACAUUAUUUCACCCAAGUUCUCUGUUGCCCAGGUUUGUUUCAGAUUGGUUUGGGACAGUGGAUCAGAUCACAAAUGUUUCAGUGAGAUCUCUCAUUCUAUUUCCUAGGAUGCUUUUAUCUGUGAGAAAUACAACCCCCUGCUCACACUGGCUUAAGGAAAUUGGCAAGAGGUAGAUUAUGGCUCCAUUAUAUUAACAGGAAGCCAAUUUUCUCUGCCUUCUUACUCUUCAUUUCAUUUUCGGCAUAAUCUCAUCCUCAAGGUGUUUUAUCUUAUGAUUUCAAGAGGACCAUAAAUGUUUCCAGGGGCCACGUCCAUGAAGCAGGAGGCAUCUCCAGUGAAUGCCAUGCCCUGACGCCUUACUGAGCACUCCUAGUAGGACAAAAUGAGUACUGUAUGGGGAGGAGGCAACCUCAAACAACCACCAUGCUUACUGCCAAGCCUAUAGGGUUUUUUAAAUUCAUUUUUUAAUUUGCAUAUAAUAAAAUGCAUUUUUUUGGUAUGCAGUUUUCUGAGUUUUGCCAAAUGCACAAAAUCACGUAACUGCCACUGCCAUCAAGAUUGGGAACGGUGGCUAGGUGUGGUGGUGGCUUACACCUCUAAUCCCAGCAUGUUGGGAAGCUGAGGCAGGAGGAUCGCUUGAGCCCAGGAGUUCAAGAUCAGCCUGAGCAACAUAGUGAGACCCCGUCUUUACGAAAAGCUUUUUAAACAUUAGCUGGGCAUGGUGGCAUUGCCUGUAGCCCGAGCUACUUGGAAGGUUGAGGUAGGAGGAUCACUUGAACCUGGGAGGUUGAGGCUGCAGUGUGCUGUGAUUGCACCACUGUACUCCAGCCUCGGUGACAGAGGAAAACCCCACCUCAAAAAAUUUUUUUAAAAGAUUUAGAAUCGUUUUCUUUUCCUUUUUUCUUCUUUUCUUUCUUUUUUUUUUUUUUUUUAGCCAGAAUUUGGCUCUUGUCACCGGGGCUGGAAUGCAAUAGCACAAUCUUGGCUCACUGCAACCUCCGCCUCCCAGGUUCAAGUGAUUCUCCUGCCUCAGCCUCCCGAGUGGCUGGGACUACAGGCGCCCACCACCACACCUGGCUUUUUUUUUUCUUUUUUUUUAGUAGAGGCAGGGUUUCACCGUGUUGACCAGGCUGAUCUCGAACUCCUGACCUCAGCACUUUGGCCUCCCAAAGUGCUGUGAUUAUAGGCAUGAGCCACUGUGCCUGGCCUAGAAUAGUUUCCUUACUCCCCCAAAACUGCUUUGUGCUGCCUUUUUGUAGUCCACCUGACCUUAACCCCAGCUCCCCCACAUUAGAAACCACUGAACCGCUGAUCUGUUCUUCACCGUAAAGCUUUCCCUUUUCCAGGGUGUAGCGUACGUGGAAUUAUAGAGUAUGUCACCUUUCAAGUCUGGCUUCUUUCAUCUAGUGUAAUGCAUUUGAGAUUUAUCUAUGCUGUCGGAUGUAUCAGUAAGGUUGUGUCUUAGCAGUGCUGAGAAGUAUUCCUUCGCAUGGAUGUACCCAGGUCUGUUUAUCCAUUCAUCAGUUAGAGGACAACUGGGUUGUUUCCAUUUUGGGCUGAUUACAAAUAAAGCCACUAUGUACAUGCACCUCUAGGUUUUGGGUGAACAUAAGUUUUCAUUUCUCUUAAGUUUCAAUACCUAGGAGAAUGAUUGCUAGGUCAAUGGUAAGAGCGUGUCUAACGCUACAAGAAAGUGCUAAACUGUUUUCCAAAGUGAGCGUAGCAUUUUGUAUCCCCACUAGCAAUGAAAUGAGAGCUCUGCUUGCUCUGUAAGAGGCAUUAGUGAAUGUGAAAGUGCUUUGUAAAGAGUUAACAUGUCUCAUAGCGUGCCCAGGCGGGAAGAUUCAGAGGGGGCAUUUCUAAACUCUAAACUCCUGUGAGCUCCUAGCCCAUCCUUCUGAAUGGGGACAGAAUACUUCCAUUUCCAGGUUACUUGCUUCUCCAAAAGGGAGACAGGGAAGUAUCCUUCUCUUUUUGCAAAUGAGGGCACAGCACUGCCUCUCGUGGUUGAGCCAGUCAUUAUUCAGUAGGAACACCAGUGAGAUUCUCCAGCCUUCUGUUUUAUUCCUGGGGUCACAAAGUAAAAUGCAGCGUGAUCACUUGGAGCUUUCUUAUGCUUUGUGACAAGAACAAAGCCAGUGGAAACAGCCAUGUGUCCAAUCAGAAUGUCAGAGCUGGCAGGGACCUUAGCAAUUGUCACUUUAGAGAUGAUAACCGAUCACAUCCCCAGGUCCAGAAUCCCAGCCCAGGACUCACUCCUUCAGCCUUCCUGGAUUGCCCUGGGUGGAACAAGAUCAGCUCAUUUAGCACAUAGCCUUCCAGAACACAAGGCAGUGUCCCACCAAGGUGGGAUGGGACCGGCUUCUCUAUCCACAGUAGCUGUGCACACAGAGACAGAAAUGAAGCCGUUCUGCCGGGUGCACCGUGGCCAGAGAUCCUCCUUCCUGGUAUAUACUUCCAGAGCCUUUGCUUCUUUCAUUUCAGUGCCCAUUUCUGAGGCACCUUCACAUUUCAAACGUCCUGAGAAUAUGUUUAAUUAGAACUUGGCCAUACAGCCUUUUAAAACAAAACAGAAGGGACCAGCUAAUUAUAUCGCUCAGCAUUCUGUGGCAAACAUAUAUUUUUUAAUAAAACACUUUCCUAACCAGAGUAAUCCCUGGAGAUGCAAAUCCUCAUUUAUAAGAAGUUCCCCAAAGGGAGUUAAAGAGAAGAUGCCUUAUAAAGAAAAGAGACAAAGAGAGUGGGGAAGUGUUUUCAAAGAGCUUUUAAAAGAUACACUCAUUCUGAGGUUGAAUUACAGAUAUUUUAAGGGUACCAAAUUUUAUUUCAGAUGUAAUCCUUUCCUGUGUUUUUGAUCAUGUAUUUCCGUUUUUUCCCUUUUUGAUCAUUGCCACAAAUGCCCAUAUUUCUCUUUCUGGUGUCUUUCAUAAGUGCAAUAUUUAAAUAAACAAGGGAUUUUCCCAAAAUGCACCUUAUCUCCUACUCUUUGUCAUUUCCUUGUCUUGCUCUGCAAAUAACCGUUGUGUCUCACAGCAGAGCUUACACAGAAUGCAUGUAGGGCAGUCUGUGGUCCUGGGGAGGGCCUUCCCUGUAAUCUCUGUAGCCCAGGACAGGGAGAGGGAGGAUUUAGGUCCUGCUGCGGCAUGUCUUCAGGAGUGGAGGUCGGCUUGGGACAUUUGCAUUCAUGAGGCAGCCGCAGAGGGUCAGAGCAAUAACUGUGCCAGCUGAUGUUUGCUGGGGGGUUUACUCCAAGCCAGGCCACACGCUAAGAAAUUUAGGUAUCGCACCUCAUUUAAUCCUCACAAUACUCACAAAAUGUAGUUGUUUUGCUCCAUUUUGCAGAUGAAGAAGAUGAGGCUUGAGAGACGAAGGAAUGAAUGAAGGGUCUCACAGCUGUUAGAAGGGUUAGAUCUUGUAUUUGGACUCAGGUCUGCCUGCCCUGGAACUUGGCUCUCCCACAUCUGGUGCUGGGCGCACUAGGAGACGUCACAAGGCUCAGAGAUGCCACCCUUCCUAGAACGGGCGCUGUGCCUCUCUUCUCCACACACUGCAGGGGGGACAGGCACUGCAUUUUCAGAUAAGUUCUGUGUGCAUCAGAGGCUCGGUGGGAAAGAGAGGACACACUCAGAUUAGGAUUAUUCAUGGAGGAUUCUCCAAAGAGGCUAUUUGGAAGGCCGGAGGGAAUGGUGAAGGAAAGCACAAGAGAAAAUGAACAGAACCGUUACUUCCUCACGCCUGAAGGGGAUGGGUUACUGGAAGCCAGGAGGAGAAUGUGGUGAGAGCCCCUUUUAGAGAUUUCACCUUCAGGAGAAAGUCAGGGCCCAAGAAGACCCACAGGGAGGUGACCAGGGAAUGGCAUACUUGGGCUACGCUCUCUUCUCUUCCUCCACUCUCCUGCCAGGGCUCCGCAUUGGAUAAACCCCUGCAGGGGUGAGUGAAAACUGCCACCCAGGUCUGCCUCCCAGGGCACAGCCCAUGGAGAGCUCUAAGGCAAGUGGCAGAAAACUAGCACAGGCACAGUGCGUCUUGCAAAGCACUCAGCCCGUGCCGGCUCUGGGCUGGAAAUGGGAAGAGAGGAGACCAUAGCACUGCCCUCAAAGAUCUUAGAGUCUGUGGAGGAGUCAGGCAGAGAGAGGGGGUGUUCCCCUGACAAAGGAUUCCAUGAGCAGAUGCAGGCCAUGGGCGACGCUCCUGCAGAAGCUUUGGGGUUUGUUGCGUGUGCCUGGAAGGAACGCGCCCACCUUGACAUGCCUGGCCUCCUGUUGCCAUUGACAACGUGAAGGCAAACUCCUGAGGCCGGGCCUUUUUCCUUGAGAUAAAAUAUGUAUAAUUCUCUGUUAUCAAAUGAUUAUUAAAUAAAAUCUAAUUGAAAAAAUAGAAAGAAGAAAAGAGAAGUCAUUUAUCAUCCUGUUCUCCAAAGACAACUGUGAACGGCUUGGUGGAACUCCUUCCAGUGGCUUUCCUUGGAGCUUUGCCUCUGUGGCUGUGGUGAAAAACCGUGAUCACUUGCCUUGAAUACAAUGAAAACAAGAAAACAUUAUUAAAUGCAAGCUAGAUACAAAAUGUGAGAAUGAUGUUAAAGAGAUCCUGGUACCAAAAGAAGCCUUCCACCUGGAUAUCAUCAGAGGGACAGAAAGAAUUAAAGUAUGGACAAAUUUCUCAAAGUGGUAUUACUGUUAUUUAAUGAGUUCUCCAUGUGCUAUGUAAAGCCUUUCAACUACAUCUUUUAUGACGUAUCCCAUAUGGACAGAGUCCAAUUCCCUCAUUUAACAGAUGGAAAGGUUGAAGACCAGAGAGGGGAAGGAGCCCUACUGAGGUUCCAAUAGCUUUCUGAUGCCUGAUACCAUGCUUUGCCUUAUUUCUGCUGUCCACCUCAUCAGCUCUUAAGUGAAUGCUGUGGUCCCUAAUUGUGGGAUUGCAGUGUGUCCAGUCGGGGCAGCCUCUGCACUUUCCUGGAGGAAAAGGCAGAGUGAUCUCUCGCUCGGUGAUCUCUCACCAGGGUGAUCUCUCUGCAUAGGGCACCCAGGCUGGAAACUAACAGGGAGCCGGCCAGCACACCCAGCAGGUGCCAGGCUGCAGGGAGCUCCUGCUUCAUCUCAAACACAAGAACACUCAGCUCAAAGCACAAUAUUUUCUGGCUUAGAGUUUGGCUCUUAGAGUGGCAGCUGUUCCUACCAAAGCAAACAUUGAAAAUCUGUAAUUUUCAGAAAUAAUCGCCAACCCUCCAAAGAGAUGUGUUUACACCGAAACUCCUCCGUGUGUUCACCCUGCAUUCACUCAGUGUCGAGUUGCAGUUUUCUCUGCACUGCAUCACUGUGCUUCCUCCUGAACAAUCGUUUUUGCCAGGGAGCAUCAGCACAGACAACUAGAUCCUGAGCGAUGACCAGCUGGGCUCCUCCCCAAAUGGAGCCAGAUAAUUUUGUGUUACCACUUCUGCAUUUUUUUCAAAUCACAUCUAUGCUUAAGCAGAGAGCAAACUCUCAACUCCAGCAGCCAGCCCAUGGGAAGCUAUAAACCUUCAUCAGUUCAACUUCAGGUGUCUUCAUCAGCCUCUCCCGUAGGUGGCCUUGCAACCUGACCUUGGUUUCAAAAUUAAAAAUGCAGUUUCCUUGGCCGUCUCCGGACUUACAGAGCCUGCGGUUGGAGACUCAUACAUUCUACAUUUUAAAAUGGGACUCACAGGCCUGUGUACUUGAGGCCGAUGGAUGGAUGGCGUUGCCUGGCUGGGAAAUGUCAAUUUCCCAACUGGGCAUCCAUCCAUCCACUGGCCAAGCAGCCAGUGGAUCUUUGUUGAGCCGUUCCUGUUUGCCAAGCCUUGGGUACAUCUCUGCUGCGAGGGAGGAGGAGGUCCCCACCUUAAGGAGCUUUUAAGGCUUGUUGGGAAGGCAAGGCACAUGUCUGAAAAACCCCCUUGCAUGCAAGUUAACUAAGGAUAGGGGAUGAUGCCAUGAGACCUCUGCCAUCCACGUGGCAGAACCUGCUCUGCUGAUUUCCUGGCUUGAUGUCCAUUUGCUGCUGGCUCAUGCUCAUAUUCACAAGUCACUCUUGAGAGCCCUUUCCCUGUGCCAGGCCCUGUGCUGAGUUUUAGACACGCAGGGAUGGACAGCACACAGCCUUGGCCCUCCAGGCGCUUGCAUCCGACUGUGGAGAGCCACUCUUAGAAACCCAGGGAGCAAUCCAAGUCUGUGUGUGAUGCCACUCCUGGACCUUGGGAACACAGAGCCCCCGCCAGUGCCCUGGGAGCUGGUGUUCUUGCAGGGGUGGAGACAGACCUGUCCUUUGUGGCCUGUUAGUUUCCUUGUGGCUG